rnacentral:rRNA from 1 species
CCUACGGGAGGCUGCAGUAGGGAAUCUUCCACAAUGGGCGAAAGCCUGAUGGAGCAACGCCGCGUGGGUGAAGAAGGUCUUCGGAUCGUAAAACCCUGUUGUUAGAGACGAAAGUGCGUGAGAGUAACUGUUCACGUUUCGACGGUAUCUAAGCAGACAGCCACGGCUAACUACGUGCCAGCAGCCUCGGUAAUACGUAGGUGGCAAGCGUUAUACGGAUUUAUUGGGAGUAACGUGCACGCAGGCGGUCUUUUAAGUCUGAUGUGAAAGCCGUCGGCUUAACCGGAGUAGUGCAUUGGAAACUGGGUGACUUGAGUGCAGAAGAGGAGAGUGGAACUCCAUGUGUAGCGGUGAAAUGCGUAGAUAUAUGGAAGAACACCAGUGGCGAAAGCGGAUCUCUGGUCUGUAACUGACGCUGAGGUGCGAAAGCGUGGGUAGCAAACAGGAUUAGAUACCCCGGUAGUC